UACAGAGGUCUCAAGCGUUGUUCGGAUUCAUUGGGCGUAAAGGGCGCGUAGGCGGUGCGGUAAGUCACCUGUGAAAUCUCCUGGCUCAACUGGGAGCUUGCAGGCGAAACUGCCGUGCUGGAGUGUGGGAGAGGUGAGUGGAAUUCCCGGUGUAGCGGUGAAAUGCGUAGAUAUCUGGAGGAACACCGGUGGCGAAGGCGGCAUCCUGGACCGGUAUUGACGCUGAGGCGCGAAAGCUAGGGGAGCAAACGGG
rnacentral:rRNA from 1 species